rnacentral:rRNA from 1 species
AGCCUUUGGAGAGGAUUAAAGGUUAUACCUGCCCAAUGUUAUAUUAAUGGCCGCGGUACUUUGACCGUGCUAAGGUAGCACAAUCAAUUGGCCCUUAAUUAGGGUCAGGUAUGAAUGGAGUUACGGGGCUUAGCUGUCUCUAAACUAUUUAAUUGAAGUUGCUAUAUAGGUGAAAAAGCCUGUAUUAAGAAAAAAGACGAGAAGACCCUUAGAGUUUUACUUAUAAAAGAGUAAUUUCUUUACUAGUUUUGUUGGGGCAACAUAGGAGAAGAAACCAAACCUCCUAAAGAAUAUAAACCGAUGUUUUUAAAUGUGAAUAAACUACCUUAGGGAUAACAGCAUAAUUUUAAAAAUAAGUUUGUGACCUCGAUGUUGGACUAGGAAACUUAAGGGCUAGUCGCCUUUUGGUAAGGUUCUGUUCGAACUAUAAUUCCU